UUGAAGACCACUGGUUUUGCAAAAAAUUCUAGAGAUACGUGUUUUUGUCUCUUGGAAUUACACCUUGACUUUGAAAAUUCUUUCAAACAAAAUGAUCCCAGGUUUUCCGAAACUAUUCCUGUGCCCUGAAAGCUCUGAAAUUAAAUGUCUGCUACUUUCGACCACUCUUUACAAAACCCAGAACAAAAAUAUUGAAUACUGCACAAAUCAAUCUGACUCUUACUAUUUUACGUAUAAUCUUUUGAAACACAUCCUACGUAGAAUCUAUGCCUUGUCUUUCCUUGAUUUCUUUAGCACCUGAAGCCUGCAUUUUAUUAAGUUUCACUACUCAUGAAAAACUGAACAAAACUAAACAUAACCAUAUAGAUAAUAAAUUAGGUCAGAAAUGCCCUAAACACUGAUACCUCGUUCUGGAAGUUUCUCAUGACCAACACAAUUAUAUCUUGUAACCUACAGAAGAACAACAGAGUCAGAUAUAUGGUAAUGUGAUGACUGUGAAGGUAAUUAAGGUGACAGUUGGCACCUAAAAUCAUAAUCCCCAUUAUCUGGCCCCGUUAUUCAAUGGCACAACAUGGUUGCCUCGCGAGAGCAGUGUACGACGCCACCCCUGUCGCCGACGCGUUCCAUUGUCGCGCUUGGGUCGCCGUGCGCUCGCCGGAGGACCGCGAUGCCGCGGGGAUUCUGGAGAAUAUACACCACCAGCUUAUCCCGGAGCAGCAAUAUUCUGAAUCUUCG
rnacentral:lncRNA from 1 species